rnacentral:tRNA from 1 species
CUUUAAAUAAGCUAAUACAAGCUACUGGGCUCAUAACCCAGGAAUGAUAGAACAUCUUUAAAGGC